CCCUGCCUCUGCACCUCCCCGCAGCUAAUGAAAAGGCCGAGUUUCCCGAUGUAGGAAAGCCCCUACCCGCUGUCAUUUCCAGGGAUGAGUGAAAUCUGCAGAGGCCACGCUUGUCCUCAUCUACAGCCCUCCUUGUCUCCUCCACUCACAUUUUCCCAGAGCAGCUAGCUUUGUCCUGGGGCUCAGGGUGUCCCUGGGCCGAGGUGGAAUCCAGCCACAGCCACCUUCCAAAGCCAACAGUCACGGUGAACAUGCAGAAAAGCAAGAGCUGGGUGCUUCCUGAUGCAGAGUAAAGAAAGUCUCCGCAUGAGAAGACGUGGAUUGAUUUGGGACAAAAGGCACUUGUUGGCUCAGGAAGGCAGGUCCAGUUCCAUGGAAUCCCCAUCAGACACUGGAUGGAACUGAGCUAGCAGUGCAGGUUUUCAAUCUCAACUGUGUCUUCCCCCACCCCCAUCCUGCUGAUUCCGCCAGAGAGGAAAAAACAUCACUCUCACUGCUGCGUGAGCUUGAAUCAGCUUGGCAGAAAGGGGGUUCUGACUGACUCCAUCAG